AAAAAAGCUAGGCUGGGUGUUUAGGCCGCACCUGUAACCAUAAACGGUCUUAGAUGGAGUCGAAGUCCAAGAGGCGAUGCAUUAAUUUUUGCAGGCCCUAAUAACUACAGUGAUAUCCUGUCCUGUCUGGUUGUUUUGAUUGUGAAACUUGUGAGAUUGGGAACAAAGCAACAAUAAGCAUUCAAGAUAACGCUUACAGGGUAGCGGGGUAGAGGAAAGAUUAGGACUCAACCUGUGAAGAUUAGUGUAUCCACUCUUGGGCGUGCCUACUA
rfam:Archaeon GW2011_AR18 QT09_C0001, whole genome shotgun sequence.